UGGGGAAUAUUGCACAAUGGGCGCAAGCCUGAUGCAGCCAUGCCGCGUGUAUGAAGAAGGCCUUCGGGUUGUAAAGUACUUUCAGCGGGGAGGAAGGUGUUGAGGCUAAUAACCUCAGCAAUUGACGUUACCCGCAGAAGAAGCACCGGCUAACUCCGUGCCAGCAGCCGCGGUAAUACGGAGGGUGCAAGCGUUAAUCGGGAUUACUGGGCGUAAAGCGCACGCAGGCGGUCUGUCAAGUCGGAUGUGAAAUCCCCGGGCUCAACCUGGGAACUGCAUUCGAAACUGGCAGGCUAGAGUCUUGUAGAGGGGGGUAGAAUUCCAGGUGUAGCGGUGAAAUGCGUAGAGAUCUGGAGGAAUACCGGUGGCGAAGGCGGCCCCCUGGACAAAGACUGACGCUCAGGUGCGAAAGCGUGGGGAGCAAACA
rnacentral:rRNA from 1 species